CGUAAGAAGAGUAAAACAGGUUUGCAUAGGAAAAGUCGAUUUUCUUAUUAUAAACAGUCUAGUUCAGCUCUUCAAUGUCUUCAACGUGACAGUUACUUCCCAGGAAAAUAAUUAUAAUAAUUUGCCAAGUUUUAUUGCAUAUUGCUCCACUGUGCAUUUAAGUAAACGCCUUCUCAUCAGCAUGGCUCGUCAUGCAUAACUGUGGAGCUGCCACAUACUGGGGCGCAUUUCUACAAGCAUAUUCCAUAGGCCGGAUGGCUGGCUGACUGAAUGACUGAAUGACUCAAUGGCUGACUGACUGAGUGGCUGAGUGGCUGAGUGACUGACUGACUGUGAGCAUCGAGACUGGGCUGUCACUCACAGCUUGCCACGCCUUUAAUGCAUUGCGCUGCCAUUUUGCUGAGCGCUCAACUUCAUUACACGAAAUAUUGAAAAUGGCUUAACAGGAAAUUAAGCAAAAACAGCAGGCAGAACGAGAACCGGCAGCUAGUCGGACAGACAGCCGACCGAUCUCUAUCUAAAUCUAAUGGAUAUAACACAAAUCUUAAAGGGAAAUUAGCUGUGAGAAUGCUUAGCGAAUGCGAAUGCGAAAUCGAAGGCAAAGUCGAAGCUCAGCCACCCAGUGCUGGGUGUGUGCCAUUGUUGUUGCUGUUGUUGCAAAAUGUUUAUUGUAAUUCGGCAAGUAUUUGUGGAAUAUGAAUUGCGAGUAUUUGCAUAAAUGAAAUGUGUAUGUAAAUGGCAACUCGUAAUGCCAAUCAAUCACCCCAAAAAGACCGGGCACACACUCGCACACACACUCGCUCACACAUACGAGUCAGCUCCUCCCACAGUCACACACAAAACCAAUAAACUAAAUUCGCAUGAAAAAAUGUGUUGGAGAAAAAAGUGGGAACAGAGAAAGAAAACGAACGUAGCAAAAAUCGUCAACAACUCAAAACCCAUAUAUGACGAGAGCGAGUGUGUGUGUGUGCGAGCGUGUGUGUGGGGUGUAUUGCAACCCUUAUCCUUGGCAGGAUAUUACAUGCUUCAACAAUGUUGUAGCAUUCCCAAUAACAACACCAACAAUAACAACAGCAACAACAACAACAACAACGCCUUAACAUUCCUGCCGAAAAUGAAAUUCUGUUUUGCAUUUUAUGUCGACGACUCCGAAGCCAAAAGCAUAAAGAGCGGGACAAGAACCAGGAGCAGAAGCUGAAUGGGAACGAGAGCCACGCCAGCCAAAAACAUGACGAGCGCAGGAGGCGACUCACAAUGAUGGAGCAAAAGCAGCAGCAGAAGAAGAAGAAGAAGAAGAAGUUGCAGAAAGGAAAAAAAUGAAAUCUAAACAAAAUGCGUUCGAGCGUGUGUGUUCAAUUACAAUGUGUGUGAUUGCUGGAGCCAGCACAGGGUCAGGGGACGGGGCAACGCUCACACACACAGGCACACACACAUACACGCGCGCAUACAAGCUGGCAUAAAAAUUUACAAUGCGAAAUAAGCGAGCGAAACGCUUUUUGUUUGCUGCUGGUCGUUGCCCAAACCCAAAGCGGGACCAGGGACCCGGACCCGGACCUCGACCCGAGCCAGCAGGCCAUCCUUAUGCAAAUAACAGCGAGGGCACAUAAAAAUAAAAUAAUAACAAUACAAUAUUUUUUGAUGACAGCCGCCAACACAAGGAUGUUGGCCAGCCCCGUUAGGGCCACACCCCCACGGCUCGGGCCGCGCCAUUGUUGCGCUUGGGCUGGCUUCGGGAUCUCGACAAAGGCGCACUUCAAAAAGACAGCGCAUAAAAGAAAGGUUUAAUCGACGCGCAUUUCACGAGCAGCAGCCACAAGAUGGAGAGCGGGCGACUGGGCCGGGGGUUGGCCUAGGCGGUUGGGGCUGGCAACACUUUAAAUGGGUUUUAGUGGAAAUUGUGAAAAUUUUCUUAUGACACCAUCACGAUGCGUCAUCAAUUUGGGUUUUAUGUUCGCCUGCCGAGAAAUGCUCGCUGGGUCCAUAAACAGCUGAAAGAGAGGGGGAAGAGACAGGCAGAGAGAGAAAGAGAGAGAGACGUUGGCGAAAAUGGGCUAUCCCACAAAUAUGUCGCAUUUUGCGAUUAUUUUGAGUACCUGGCAAAUCAGAAAAGAAAUCAAACUUUGGCCAGCCCGAAGCUGUGAAACGCCUUGAAAUAAAAUUAGGACUCUGCAAAUAUUGCUUAAACCGAGAGCAUUUUACAUGCCAAGAGCUGUUUCCACACUCGUGAUAUUUAAGGAUUGGAUUUUGUAGGAGAAUUCCUAUGAAUAUUUGUUUAUGAUGUGAAAUUCUGCGAAAUUCGUAAGCAAUGCUGAAAUUGAAUUUGCCAGCAUAUAUCAAAAGGUCAAAGCCUUCUGCCUCCACUCUGCAUCGGGCGAUGUUAGUUACAUGCGAGCCUCAGACCCGAGAAUCGCAAAUCACAAAUCAAAUUCCUCGGAUGCCAAAUGCAGCAAUCUAAAUAAUUAUUUUUGAAUACAAAAUGUUAAACAAACAACAUGAGCGGAGGCACUUAAAGGCGUCGGAAGAGCGAGCGGGGGGAGCGGGCAUGCGAAGCGAAGCGGGUAAAGGAUGCGAGGACACGUUCGGCAAGGACAUGCGAAAAAGAAAAAUAACUGAACACAGAAAUCACAUUUGAAUAACAAUCAUGCCGUAUGCAAGUUAUUUCGAUUGGGAGCCAGCCGGUCGCAGGGGCGAGCAGCGAGCAGCGAGCAGCGCCGAGGAGAUAUUGAAAAUAUGAAAAGAAAUAAAAAAUAAAAACACACACACAUACACACACGCAAAAUCACAAAGAAUUCAUAAUAAGCGUCAUUGUCAUGCGAGAAAUGAAUAAAAAUCAAACGAGGACAACGACAGCAACGAGCGGAGCUCGCUGAAAAGGUAAAAGGGGUAUGGGAGGGCGCGCGAGCGGGUGGGGCGGGGCUAGGAGCUGUAGGGCACGCAGAGGGCACAUUGAAUUGAAUGUGUCGCACAGGAUGCGUGCUCCGUUCAUGUAUGCAUGUGUGUGUGUGCUGGUGUGUGUGUGUAUGGGAGCGAGCAUCCAAGGUUGAACCGGAUCGUCAACAAACAUCAUCUGCAUAUGUGAAAGGAGAAAGGCGGCUGGCUGCGUGGGCUGCAUGAAUUUUAAAUGCCGUGCCAACAACUUGAGCAAGGAGCAGCUGAAUCGAAGCUGAACGAGUAGCAGGACCAGCGCCAGCUACGGCCAUUGUGCGGCAGCCUUGCUCGGAACGGAACGCGCCACUUGAAGCAGGAUGUGCCCGUACCGAGCGAGCGAGCGAGCGAGUGAGUCCAAAUAUCUACACCCAUUCCCAUGCCCCUUCCCAUUUCCACUGUGAAGAGCAGGCUGUAGACGCAGUGAACCAAUCUCUGUUGUGAUGCUGCGCCUUUUGUGCGUUGACAAAUUGUUGCCGGUCGCUUGUGGCAUUUAAUUUUCAUCAGACGCCGCCAACAGUUGCUGUCAUAAUUGAUUUCAUUAAACAUACUCCAGGGAGCAGGCAGCAGGCAGCAGGCAGCAGGCAGCAUACAGCUGGCAGCAACAAGUGGCGCAUGCCUCGCAAAACUUUCAGCUGAAAGUAAAAACAAAUUAAGCUGAAAAUAAAUGAGCCGUCGUCGACGUCGACAGCAAAAAUAAUUGAGGGAAUUCCCACGAACGCUCCAGACAGCCCAAGGACGCUGAUGAGGACGCGGCCAAAGCAGCAGGAGCAGGCAGAGCCAGACACUUUGACAUAAUUUCUCAGCCAGACGAUGGCGACGACGACGACGAUGACGAUGACGAUGACGACGAAGACCAGGAUGUGGGGGAGGACAAGGGUGAGGGCGCAGUAAACGUCUCCCGCCCGCACAAGGACACGACCAUAACCAGCCCCAACAAAGUUUUAAUUAAUUGCGCUCAACUUGCACACACACACACACAUACACACACUCACAAAUACUCACAUACACAAUGGCAAAGCAGCGGCAGCAGCUGUAUGCCAAAAUACCAAAUGAAAAUGAGCCAAAGCACAAAAAGUUAAGAGCAAAUUAUUUUAUGCACAAAAGGCACUGAAAUGUUUUGCUUGGUUGGGUGGUUGGGUGUUUGUGUGGUGCGAUGGUGGUUUGGUGGGGUCGCUGGCUGAAUUUUAAAUGUGUGGCCAAUGAAGAAACAAGCUAAUAACUGAGACGCUUGACUGUAGCAGUUCAUAAUUUCAUUGUGUUGCUUGCCUCGAAACACCACGAGGGGUGUAUUAGAGUGAACCAGAGGUGUUUGGUUGUGCAAAUGAUUUCACUUCAGAAUACAUUUUCUUUUCAUUUUUCUUCCAUUAUAAUGCAUUAUAAGCAUUGAUCUAACAGGCGUGACAAUAUAGUCUUCCAGAUCUAAGUCUAAUCUCUAUAAUUGGAGAUAAUCUGAGUCCUGCGCUCAUAUUCCAAUCAUCCUAAAGCUAUUUCAUAUACGCAUAUGAAACGCAAAUAGAAUAUUAGAAUCGGCUCUUAAUGAUAAAAUUUAUUAUAUAUGUAUGUGUUAAUUGACAAUGCAGAAGUCUCAAGUAUGUUAAAUUAAAAUUUGCGAGAAGUGGGCAGAAGUCCAUAAUAUGAAAUAUACUAAAUUCCUACUAACUUAACAAUUGACGCAUUUUCGUUUAUUAUAAGGAUGAGGUAUGGAAAAAUAUGAUAACCUCUCACGGUCUUUGGUAUACUGGACUACCCUUUGAAGAGAAUUCAUUCACUAGAUAGGUGCAGAAAGUGAGGGAGAGAUAAAUAAAGAGAGGCAGAAAUAUAUAGAUACAUUGGGUGAUGAAGAGAAGAAGACAGAGAGAGAGAGAGAGAGAGAGAGAACUAGAUUCAUUAAGUGAUGAAGAGAAUAAGAGAGAGAGAGAGAGAGAGAGAGACAUUGAGCGAUGAAGAGAGACAGAGAAAGAGAGAGAGAGAGAGAGAGAGAGUUAAAAAUGACAUACAUUUUUGUAAGCAAAUUCUCAUUUUUAAUGAUGAUAUAAAAACACAGCAUAAGUUCAUCUUCACUUCGCUUAAAUGCUGAAGUCAUAUUGUAUUUUUGUAUGGUAUUUGCUCGUCUAUGAAACAAUUUUACAUUUUCUUUAUAAUUUUUAAUUUUUUAAGGAUAUCCAUGACCAAAGUUCCAACUGAUAGCGGCUUAGAAUUAGUUCAAGAAUCGGAAAGUCUUGGCAUAAUAUAGAGCCCGCUAGAUGAAAAAGUUUUCUGUUCGACUUUCAAGACUUUGUACAAUCUCAAAUACUCAACAUUUUCAAAACGAUUCGCAACAGUUCAGUGAUCCAAAUGAAGCUGCAGAAAAUUAUUAAAAAUAAGGCAUGAAAUCCUCAAUCAAAUUCAUGAUGCGUGAAGACAUGCGGCUCAGGUAGGACAGACAGCGAUAGAGAUACCGUUAAGGCUAGGGGCAUGUAUGCAGAUGAUGUUUGGCCAUAUGCAAAGAGUUGGGCCUGCCCAACCGUCACAGCCUUUAUCAACAAUUUGAGCAUGAAAUCUACUUUGAAGCUUCUCCAUAUCUGCAUGUUUGCUGUUUAUAAAACUCUAAUUAAGUACGACCACAGACACUCGAGUCGUUGCUCAGUGUCUGUGCGUAGCGAGCGGUGGAAAGUCAGGUACCCCAUGGCCAUGGCCAUGGCAAUGCCCAAAUUGUUUAACCCCCGGGCACAACACAAUUGACAGCAAAACCAACAAUCACACACACACACAGACACAGAGAGAGAAAGGAUGCUCUCGAAACCCUUUUGUCUGGCCCAUUGUCUGCCGUGCCAUCCGAAGGCGAUUUAUUGCCGAUUUGCGCCGAAAAUCGAAAGUGGCUUGUGCGCAUUUAUCGAUAGUCCUGGGAGAUGGCAUCGGGCAGGGUCAGGGGCAGGGGCAGGGGCAAGGGUUAUCAGUUGGUGUCCUGGACUGGGGAUGGGGUGGCCGGUGCGGUUGUGCAGCGCAUUAUUAUAAAUUUGCCUUUUAAUUCACGUUACGCCGAUUUUAAACAAUGUCGAAUCAAAAAUCGAACUAUGAAUAUUCAUAUUGCCCCCUGCCAACUGACAAUUGUUAAUGGGCGAGCAUAUGUUAGGCUAGGCCAGGGGAAGGGUACAUGGCAUAGGGGCGGCAGCUUGGAUUCUGCAUAAGUUCUCGACUCUGUUAUCUCUGCCGUUGCAUAAAAAUGUUGAUUUAUGCGAUCCGCUUUGAAUUUUAUGCCGAUUUUUCUUUAUGUCCCGAUCGCAAUUUAACAAAACAUUUACAUGGCAGACUUUUUAUUUGUUCUAUGGCCCUGGUUAAACAUUUUAAUGGCAUGUGUGUUGGUUGAUUGAGAACAAUAGGGCUGUUGAGAUGUUUCGAGAGCUCGGCAAUUUCAUAUGCAAAAUAUUUAGGCCAUAAAUGGUGAGAAUCGCACAUGCAAAAUAUUUACUCUUCAUACAGCAAUGUAUUUAAACUAUUAAUAUUGUUCGCUUAGCGUCUAUGAAAUCUAAAAUCUGUCAUCAAAAUAAAAUCUCUAGGCUUAAGCUGAGCUGAGAAUUCGCAACUCAUCAAUCAAAUAGCGGAGAGCUAGCCAAACGGACGGAAACUCGUCAGCUGAUAAGCCGAGCGACACCUCCAGAGCUCACCGGGAUUUCGUUGGCUAUUCAAAUUUGUUGCAUUGCGAUUGAUGUGGGCAUUACGUGACCUGCCAGCAGUAGCAGUCAAAGGGGUUCUCUCUUUAGUUUCAUUUUUUCUUCUAAUGGCAUUUUGGCGUAAUUUAUGCGCCUGUGUAAACGCCUUUGAAAGAGACAGACGCACGGAAGCUGAGUCUGCCUACCUGGGCAACUGCGAGCCUGAGCAACCCCUUGGCAAUGGAUGAGCUCGCAGCGGGCUCUGCUGCAUAAAUUACAAUUUAUUGCGAUUUGCAUCACUGAAACGGGCACACGGCACAGCUGCCUACAAAUCCUGCCCAGCCAGCUCAGUCAGCUCCUCGGCUCGUCAGCUCCGACACUCAGUCUGGGCCGUUCAGUUAGUGCGUGAAGUCCGCAAGUGUUGGUUGAGUUGCUGGUGCUGCUGUCGCUCAUAAAUUAGCAACAUUUUAAAAUGAAAUAAAAACUUAAUAGAAAUGUUAAAGACGCCACGCAUGCGUAAACGUCACGGUCAAGUGGCCUUGCGAUUAACGCGGGCUGCCUUUGAGGGCCGCACUCGCCGUUUGUGGGCGGCACUUCACUUCACUUGGGAGUGCCGCUUGCUCGGGGCUCUUCACAUGUGAGCUGCAUGGCACAUACCACACUCAAGUCAAGUUAAUAAUAUGAAAGAAAUCACUUUGCCGCUUUGUGCAUUGUUAAAAGUUUUAAGCUGCGCCUCAAACAGACGCCGACUCCAACUCCGACUCCGACUGAGACUUCGAUGCAUAUGCAGAAAAAGGAGGAGCUGCUCGCAUGCGGCAAACAAAGUUGUUUGUAAUAGCGCUUUUGUGGUUCCCCCCUCAGCGCCAAUGCCCUCGCUCAAGGUACUCGGCUGGUAGCCAGCAAACUUUGCUGUUUGCAAACUUUUAUUCUUCUUAUAUUUUUUUUAUCGCUGCAGCAGCAGCAGCAGCAGUUUUUUCUUACGCCGCCAACAACGAAGGAGCAGCCGCUGCGUAAAACUUUUCACUUUGACUCCACUUUAUUGUAUUUCUAAUACUUUGCUUUUCAGCCAACUUAGUCGCAGCAGCAUGUGAACAAAGUAAGCGGCCAGCGCGUUGCCGAACUGUGCAAACGUCUAUGAAAAUGUGCUGGCUAUUGCUCUACGCGGCCCCACUCGAUGCGAUGGAGUUCAAGCGCACCCCACAAAUUGCAGACAAUUGAAAAUUUUUACAUUUUAUGACGCUGCGCAAUUUGGUGGCUGCGGUCGGAUUUCUAUACCCUGUAGUCAUAGUGGAAUGCUGAAUGCUGAACUUGUGCGAACAUGAGAGAGCUUAGUAAACACUCGAGUAGGCUGGUUUUUACAGCUAAGUUAUUUAAAUUCAUUAUUCUUUUUUUUUUUUUUUUUUUCAUUAGAUAUACGAUGAUUAUAGACCUGCCUGGAUUAAAUUGACUAAGCUCCAACUACAUGCUGGCCAAAGGGGCUGGAACUUGGUCGAAAUUCAUGUUUUAUAAUGUAUAUUCUAAAUUAGUUCCGGUAUUUUCUUAUGCAAUAGGUAAAUCAUAAAUAGAGAAUAGAGAAUAGAUAUUAUACUUGAAUAACUUACGAGAACUGCAACCAUUGACAGUCAGAGCUAUCGCAAUUUGCGAAAUGUUCCAGUUUAAGAAUAUAUCAGAAAUAUACUUGCAAACAUCAAUCAUAUAUCUUUAUCAUCAGCAGCAGACACGUCUGGCAUCUUAUUUAUAGUAAAGUUCCGGUUAUAUGUAUUUUCUAAUUCCUAAGCGAAACCCAUUUCUUAGAGCUCAUUCCACCACUCUUAAACUCCACUCCACUCCACUGGAUUGGCUAGAAAAAUAUAGCAGUUGUUAAAGAACUUCCGAUGUUGAUAAGGAAGCUCAAACGAUAAUCUCAUUUAUGAAUUUCCAUAAACAGGGUAUUUCGAGGCAUAUACAUUGCUUCUGACAGGGUACUCAACUUUAUGGAAUCGCAGAUAUGGUGAAUUGUUCAUUGAGGUUAGAAAAGAAACGUGGCUAACUAAAUGUAAAAGUCAACAGCUCUGAUAUGGCGAGAAUGUAGUGGUGACAGAAGCAUAUGUAUUUGAGAAUAACAUGUCCUGGCUGUGGCUGCUAAAUCAAGCAAAUAUGAAUUCAGAGACUGAAGUAGAGAAUAAAUAUAUAUUUAAAUAAAAGAAGACUUGAUAAAUUAAAAACUGAUAAAAUCUCAAUUGAAAUGUUUUUAACUUCAAAGAAUCAUUUUUCAAUUAGUUCUGAAAGUUUCCUAUAUAUCAAGCAGGGAGUAGUAUAAAUGAUAUUUUCAAGUGAUUCCCUCUUUGCUUGUCUACUUUGUUAGUUUAUUACAGUUUUAGUUAAAUCACCCAAGACAGAGAGAAUUGAAUUGUUUAUGUCAUCAAAUAAAAUUAACUUCAAUUAGAACUGAAACAACGGUUCCUCCGGCAAGUGGCAUCGUUUGAAACCUCUCUCUGUCUCUCUCUCUCUCUCUCUCUCUCUCUGUGUGUUCAGAAAAACCCAUUAGCAACUCCAACUGGCAAUUUCGUGAAACCCGAAUUGGAAACACAUUCGCAACGGGAGCGGGAGGAUUAGAAGGAGGUUGGUUUUUCCGAGAGGAGCAGAAGUGGGUGAAGAGGAUUCGCUGUUGGUCUCUUUGACUGCUGCUUGACUCAAGUCAAGCCAAAUGAAAUGUGAUGAAUUGUGUAAUUUUGACUGAGAAAUGGCAUUUGCAUGCGAGGCAUGCCAAAGUGAGCGAAUUUGUUUGGUCUGCACUAAAAGCGCAAGAGGCGAAAUAAAAAACCAGGACACCAUCACAUGAAAAAGAAGCGUCAAACUGGCAACCAGCAGCAGUUGAAGCGGGCCACAAACGAACGAAAAGAAAAACGUCAAACUGGCAAGCGAAUGUUGGAGCUGGCAAAAGCUGCGGCACUCACAUCUCAUUAAUUUGUGAUUGAUACGCUCUGCCACCCCCUCCACCAGCAGACCCCACCAUUUUCCUUCUUGUCAGACGGUCUGUCUGACAGUCUCUCUGCCCGUCCGUCCGUCCAUCCGUCUAUCCGUCUGUCUGUGUGUUUGUGCGUAAAGCGUCACAAAUGAAAUUGAAGUGUGUUUGUGAUCCCAUUACAAAUAAGCGAGCGAGUACUGCGAAUUCGGUGGGGUUGGCUUCCGUCCUUCGCAUAUUCGCAUUUGAUGGAUUUGCACGCGUUGUGACACAAGUCACUAAAAUAUCUUAUUACACUCACACACACACACUCACACACACGGCCACAUAUGGGUGCUUGGCAGCCAUUUUAAAAUUUCUGGCUCACACACGUAUAGUCUGCAUAAACAAACAGAACAUGGACACAACAUACAACAUCGGCUCAGCAUUUGUCUUCCAUUUAUUUUUAAACUUCGAUUUUUGCUCAACGCAAAUUUUCGAAUAUUUUUUUUUGCAAAUUGACACCCUCACACGCAUACACACAGAGAGAGUCAUAUAUGUAGAGCUUGUUAGUGAGCUCUGGCCAUUGUUGUUGUUGUUGCUGCUGUUGGUUCUAUCUGGCUGUCAAGCUGCGGCUGGGUCGGCAGCAGCUUCAUCAAUGUUGCUCGCACGCCGGAAGCGUGAAAAUCUACAGCGCUCAGCGCAAAAGGGAAAAGUUCACAAAUGGAAAAUUACGGGUGCACACGUGCAGCACACAUACACACACACACAUACAGCACCCACCCUGUUGGCAACAACCUCUGCCACUCUCUGUUCGUUCGUUUGUCAUUUCAGGUUGUUUUAUUCAAUUUCGAGGCAGGCGAAAUUCGCAAAAAAAAAAAAUAAGCAAAAAUAAAAAAAAACUCUUUGAAAAUACAACGCGGAAAAUGUCAUGUGAUAUGUCACACAUGUAGCUGUAGCUGCCACGCCCCUCGGCACCCCCGUCACGGUUUGCCUUAUCGACUGCCAUAUUAAUGUACUGGAAAUUUGCCAUUUUCCUUUGCAAAGGAAGCGCUUUUCAUUUAGCUCCCGUCGCUCUUUAAUCUUAUUUACAAUAAAGAGCAUUGCCAAAUAAAGGCCAUUAGGCAUAAAUAUCACUGCAAAUAUACGCACGCAUAUAUGUACCUUAAUAACCCACGCACACAUAUACAGACUAAUAUAUAUAAAUAUAUACAUAUUUGAUAUAUUCGCAACCAUAAGCCAUUCAGGGCCAGUGAUGCAUGUCGCUCGAUUCUAAUCAACCAGGCAGCAAAGGGCGAAAAGAAACUGUGAAACUGUCCUCUAAUGGAAACUCCUUUAUAGUCGUGCAGUGCCUGUGCUGUCCUUCAUUUUCUUUUCGUUUGGGCAGUGUCCUGCUUAAGCGAAAGAAAGGUCAGUUCGGACUCAGUUGCCUUCCUUUGUGUUGACUGUCAAUUGGACAGCUUUUAGCCUGCCUUUUGGUCGUUUCUCUGUAUUUUUUCUUUUGAAUUAGCACAGAGUUGACUCUUCUUUUGGCCAAACAAAAGAGUUGCACAAGGAUGGGAGAUUGAUCCGACAAAGGGAAUGAUUGCAGCAUGUGCAGAUUGAGUCUGAUUGGUGUUGUUCUUAUUGGCAACGGCCGCGCGGGAAGCCCUCAACCGACAUUCAAUGCUCACUUCUCACAAUCUCUAGCUUUUAUUUCAAUUAGCGACAUAAUUGAUUGAUCAUUGAAUGAUAUUUCAAUCGAAAUCUAAAUGGUGUAAAAUCAUCAUGAAAUUUAAAUAAUAAAAAAUACAUUAAUAUACAAAUCUUUAUAUAACUAAUAAAACUUAUAUUUUUCUACAUAACCACAUGUGAAUAUACUGAGCGUCAUCAGGACAAUUUAUGCCUCUUAAAAUUAAAUAAAAAUGAAACUCAGUAUUAGAAAAAGUUCAGAUUAAAUCAAUUGUAAAAAAUUGCUAAAAAUUCUUUGAUAGUAAUAUUCGUUAGAAAGAAGAAUAAUAUUCAAGGCGCACUACUUGACUUCAAACAUCCCAGAAAAAAAAACCGACUUAUCAAAAGGAUUUACACGAAAAGAUGGAUAUUUAUAAAAACUAAAAUUAAAAUGUCACAAACAAAAAUUUAACUUAAGCACGAAUUAUAAAUAAAAUAUUUAACGAGGAUCAUGAAGAGUGCGCUAUCCGGAUAACGUAUGGACUAAAAAAUACUCUCAUUGCAAACAUUGAAAGAAAUUAUUUUCGAAAAAUCUUAUUUAGUCUUUCCUAUUAUAAUUUUUUUUCAAAAUUUCUAUUUGUUUUUUUCUAAAUACUUAAAUCUCAUUUAGUCUUUGCUAUUAUAAUUUAAUUUUUUUUUUUCAAAUUUCUAUUUUUUUUUCUAAAUAUUUAAAUUAACUUUGAUUUUUAUCGCAGCUAUACUAAAUAUUUAAAUACCAUCUUUAAAAUCUUUCUAGCAUCAAUGCAAAGCCCAAAAGUUCUUUUAAUUAUUAAAAACAUCUUACAACGUUUGUUAUGUUCAAGUUUUGUUAUAUUUAAUAUAUUAUGUUGAUAUUUAACAUCUUGCAUAAGCCUUGUGAUUAAAUAGUAACCAGGAGCACGAUAAUGUCCUCAUGCAUAACUCCUCGGUAAACUAUAAUGAUUACGGCAUUAUAAAUCGCCGUCAAUAUUUGCAUAUGCCCACGUCUAGGCGAAUAUUAAACAGCUUUGUGCUCCAUUUCAAUUUCCGGCGGAGUCAGCCGUUGCUCAGUGCCGCGAACUCUGCUGAGCAUGGUGACAGCUCCCACGCGCUUUGGCCAUUAAUUUAUUUCGCCAUUUUAAUUUCGCUUUCGUUUUCAUGUUUCGGUCGCAAGGCCAAAUGCAGCCCCAUUCGGGCUGGGUGGGUGAGCAGGAGUCGCAGCCCCAACAGCAAAAAAAAAGGAGCGAAAAAUUGUUGCAUUAAAACGGGAGUGCAACAGCCGGCACAGAGGCAACGUCAUUGCUGCCGCUGUGCGAAAAUGAGCCAAGUUCGUAGUUAGUCAGGGAGCAUCGGUCGACGUCGACACCGACUUUGCUGUUGCUGUUGCCGUUGCCGGCAGCGUUGCAGCUGUUGCUGCUGAGCUCCGCUUGUUUCAUUUCAUUUAUUUCAGGCUGUUGCGUCCCCCUUUGGCCCCCACCUGCCGCCGCCUAGCUUAUAAUUUCAUUCAGCCAUUAAAAAUUUACUUGCACCCACCCACUCGCUGCUCUGUGGGCUGCGCCGCAGUCGUCGGGCCGCGUCGCUCUCGUCCUCUUCCUGCGCUCCAUUCGUUAGUUUGUUUUGGCGCAAGCCACAAGAGAGCAGCAGCAGCAGCAGCAGCAGCUCCAGCGUCGGCACGCCGUCGCCAAAUGAAUGGGAAUGAAUGAAACGAAAAUGAAUAAAUGAUAAUGAGAGCAUUCGCAGCUGAUGAGCCGGCCGUGGGAGCAUCGCUGGCGUCGCUGCCGCCGAGCCCUGUGAGGGCGGCUCUUGUACUCAGCGUUGUUGUUGCUGCUAGCUUGUGGAUGCUGCUGCUGCUGCUGCUGUGGCUCCUUCCUGCUGCUGGUGCUUCGCUCAUUUUCAUUUUCGUUGAUGAGAUAAUGGCUGUGUCUCUGUGUUUUUACUUUGCCUCUGCGCCGGCUGCUGCGACGCGACCUCCGCGUCUGCUGCUGAUGAUGAUAAUGAAGUUGUAGCUGUGGGUCUGACUCUGGCUCUGCGCUAACGAGUGAAUUAUUUUAAAUGUGGGUUUCAAGGUCAAGGUGAUGCCGGCGCUUCCGCCUCGAAGUUAUUGUUUUGCAUUCUUCUUUUCGCAUCGCAUUCAUUAAGCGCCGCGUCGCCCGAGCCGUCAUUAUCGUCUAACGCUUUGUUGAUUAUUCGCACAGCGCAGGACAAUGCGGAAAGGUGAAUAACCCACGCGGUCCCCAAUGAAGCUCUGCAACUGGUGGUUGUGUGGUAGCGUCGUUAAAUGUGUCAGAACAUUCUACUAAUUGAUUUCGGCUGUGGAUCGAUUGUCUGGCUGCAGCCAGAGUGCUGCCUUUGCCUUUGAGAGCGGGCAUAGACAACUUUACGAAAUUGAUCAAAUAUUUAACUCAACUCGCUGAGCAGCUACAUGAGUGAAAAGAACGACUGUCAGACAGUCAGUGCGGCUGUCCGUCGGUCUGUCUGUCUGUCAGUCGGUUGCUGGGCUGGUGGCAGAGUCGAACGACAAUGACGCACAUCAAAAUAUGCAAAUUGGAAUUUCAAAAAUACAGCAAUAUUGUUGAAGCAGUGGGCGACCCACUCCAGGCAGCCUCUUGCUCGGCUCCCCUCGCCCCCUCGCCUAUGGCCAAUGCGCCACAGCCUCUGUCUCUGCUCGUAUACACAUACACCCAUAUAGUUAACCCGAUUUUGGGCGCAUGCAAAUUUCUCGUACAGCCCCUGCGGCUGCCAGCAUCGAUGUUGCUGCUGCUGCUGUCGCUGCUUCUGCUUCUGCUGCUGCCGCAGUUGACGCCAUGCCUGAGGCGGCAGACCGAGCCACCAUUAUUUGCCUUUACGACUGCACACGGUGCUUCGCCGGCUCUGCGAGUGCCAGGGGAAACAGGGCGGCGGCAGCAGCGACAGCAGCGAUAGCAGCGUCCAGUGCGCAAGCGUCCUGCCCGCUAUCGUCGUUAUUCUCUCGCCAUCUCUGUCAGUGGCAGAGGCCAGCAAUCGCUCGUUCACUCGCACUGCUCUGCCUGAGCGAGUGUGAGAGCAACUUCAACCACCACUAGAAGCAACAACGGCAGCAGGAGAAGCAGUAGCGUCGUUCCAUUCCGUUUCGUGCCGCAUAAUUGCUAUGGGGAACAUUUUGGCUUUCGAGACGUGGAAAUUAACACUACGCCCCGUACACGCAACCAAAGCGACGCGUCGCUCGGCACGUAAUGAAUGAAAAUGAAAAUGAGAAACAAAGACUACCGAAAAUUACCCAAAAAUGAAGUUUUUCAGCAGCGGCAGCGGCAGCAGCAGCACUGGCAGCAGCAUCGAGCAGAGCGGCAGUGAGAGUCGCAGCCACAGCGACAGAGCAGCAGAGCCAUCUCCAUUGCCAGUGCUGAAUGAAAAAAAGAAGAAAUUGAGUGACGUAAUGUGGCGUCGGCGUCGCAGCCAGCAAUUAAGCAACAGUUAAAUUAAACGGGUUUCUAGUUCAAGGACACGCACCAGCAACAACAACAACAACAACAACAAUAGCGACGUGCCGGCGCACCAGAUGCCCCGGCAAAUUGGGAUGAUUCUCUUAUGGCUGCUGUGGAAUGAGGCAAUUGCCUUGUUGUUGCUUUUUAAUUGUGAAUCUCAGCUGAUGGCAAAGAAGGCAAACAGCGAGAAAGAGAGGAAGAGAGAUAGCAAGAUAGAUGCUAUAAAUCAGUAAGCUACACUCAACUCCCAUCAGCUGCGUGCUGGCGCCAUCUAUUGCCUAACCUUGGAAGCACGAAGGACGGAUGAACAAACAAGCAGUGCAAAGGAUGCUGCAGCUGGCAAGCAGUUCAUUCCAGCACUGCUGAUAGCAUGAAGCAUAAAAAUAACUCGAAAUAAAGUUGACUUCUCGCUAAAUGGUUUUAAAUUGUUUGCUGUGGGAAGGCCAAGCUGGAAAUAUGCGAGCAAUAAAUAACGUUAAAAUUUAUACAUGAAUAUGUAAAAGUUGAUAAUGCAGAAAUUAAUUUCAAUAUUUCGCAACAAGAUGCCGCAGCGAAAUUGUAAAAAUUGUGAAAAUUGUUUUGCAGUCUGAAAAUAUUAAAAAGCAAUUAAUAAGCCGACCAAAUGACUAUUCGUAAUUACGGGGCUUGCAGACGGCCAGCGCGCUCCAUGAAUUAUGUUGUAAAUGCCGCGCAUACUAACUGUGCGGCCGGUUAAGGCUGGUUAAGGCUGAGUCCGGCCGUUGUAAUUGCAAUGCUUAAUGAAAAUGCAGCAGGCUGAUGGAGUUGCACAGUUGCACUGUUGCACAGUUGCUCUGCUGCUCUGCUGCAGCUGCCACUGCAUUUGUGCAUUAAUUUCAAAAUAAACGCUAGCGUUGGAGGAGGGGCAGGGGAGACGGGGUAGAGUGGAACGGGUCUGAGCGACUUCAACUUCGACUUCGAUUUGAUGAUUGCUCGUUAAUUUGCGUUAACGAUCGGGACUGAGCAUACCGAGGCAGAGGCACCGAAAUUAAAAGAAAACAAACAAGAAAUGCUUAAGCCGUUAAGCAAGAAAGCUCGCAGGAUCGGCGUUCGAUCGAUCAGUUCUCGGUCAGCAAAUUAUCUCCUCAUUUCGAGGCAGUUUUGGGGUGCAAACAGAGCGCACGGGGAUAAUCGCCAGUGUAAACAUGCAGCACUUUGCGUGCCGAUGCCACAAGACAUGAAACCCUUCAAUCAGCAUUGGGAGCGGGCAGGAAGCGAACAGGAGCUGGGCAAGCGGCUGGCUGUCUCAGUGGCUGGCCGGCGUUAGGAUUCGCACCGUUAACCAAACAAAUCGACUACAGCAGCGACGAGGACGAGCGGCGGACGAGUGAACGAAAUUCGCAAAAUGCUGUCGAAGGCAUUCUCGAGCUCUCCUUACAUGCAUUCGCUUCAAAUUAAAUAUAAUUAUAUUUGAGUUCCGUCCAAAAUGCAACACAUCCAUCAUCGCAACCUCUGGGUGCCAGCCACAUCAGUUCCCGCCACUGGAGGGAUAGCUGGACAGACCCAGUUUUUGGUAAUGAGAGUGGCGUAAGCGAAGCACGAUGCGCCUUAACUCUUCUGCCCGGCACUUUAUUAGUGCACCUGAGGAGCACAAGGUGCCCGAACUGGUUUCGAAUGUCAAUUAAGUCUCACGUUUGAACAGAUUUUCCCACAAGUUAAGAGUUUGUCGGAAUGAAUGGAUGAAACUGUAGCUUAAGUUAUAUAUAAGGGAGAAAUAUAUAAAAUGCGAAUUUAUUUUGUGUUUCCAAGGAAUAAUAAUACAAGCUUUGUAUAAAUGUUAAUUAAAUAUAUAUCUAUAUUGCAAUCUUAGUGUUGAUAUAUGACAGCCAUAAUAAAACUAACGAUCCAUCAAAUGCAAAAAA